rnacentral:lncRNA from 1 species
GUUAGCAUGGUAAAAAUCCCACACAUAAUGAGAAUUCAGGAGCACAGUAUCACAAUGGCCAAGUUUCCUAAUUACAGGAUUAUGCCAGGACAGAGCUGAUUCCUUCCCUGUACCUGCAGAUGUUCUCUUGGAAUACCACUAAGCCUUGGGACACCCAGAUAUCCUGCCUUCCCAGCCUUGACUCCAUAGGAAAGCAGUGGAAAGAGGGAAGAUAUUGCUAUGCCAUUCUGCCAUUCUUUCUCUAGUGACACAAGGAUGGAUCCAGAAACUCUGGACCUCAAAAUAACCUGUGGUAAUAUGAGGAGAUGAGAAUCCAGCAUCUGCAUCUUACAGAGAUCUCCAAACAUAAAAUGUGAAGGGGGAAAAUAACAAC